rnacentral:rRNA from 1 species
AUUGAACGCUGGCGGCAGGCUUAACACAUGCAAGUCGAGCGGGGUGAUGGUGCUUGCACUAUCACUUAGCGGCGGACGGGUGAGUAAUGCUUAGGAAUCUGCCUAUUAGUGGGGGACAACAUCUCGAAAGGGAUGCUAAUACCGCAUACGUCCUACGGGAGAAAGCAGGGGAUCACUUGUGACCUUGCGCUAAUAGAUGAGCCUAAGUCGGAUUAGAUAGUUGGUGGGGUAAAGGCCUACCAAGGCGACGAUCUGUAGCGGGUGUGAGAGGAUGAGCCGCCACACUAGGACAGAGGUACGGCACAGAGUCCUACGGGAGGACGCAGUGGGGAAUAGUGGACAAUGGGGGGAACCCUGAUCCAGCCAUGCCGCGUGUGUGAAGAAGGCCUUAUGGUUGUAAAGCACUUUAAGCGAGGAGGAGGCUCUUUUGGUUAAUAACCAAGAUGAGUGGACGUUACUCGCAGAAUAAGCACCGGCUAACUCUGUGCCAGCCGCCGCCGUAA